rnacentral:rRNA from 1 species
GACGAACGCUGGCGGCGUGCUUAACACAUGCAAGUCGAGCGGUAAGGCCCUUCGGGGUACACGAGCGGCGAACGGGUGAGUAACACGUGAGUAAUCUGCCCAUCACUUCGGGAUAACUCCGGGAAACCGGUGCUAAUACCGAAUAUGACCACUUCAGGCAUCUGAUGGUGGUGGAAAGUUCCGGCGGUGAUGGAUGAGCUUGCGGCCUAUCAGCUUGUUGGUGGGGUAGUGGCCUACCAAGGCUUCGACGGGUAGCCGGCCUGAGAGGGUGACCGGCCACACUGGGACUGAGACACGGCCCAGACCCCUACGGGAGGCAGCAGUGGGGAAUAUUGGACAAUGGGCGAAAGCCUGAUCCAGCAACGCCGCGUGAGGGAUGACGGCCUUCGGGUUGUAAACCUCUUUCAGCAGGGACGAAGCGCAAGUGACGGUACCUGCAGAAGAAGCACCGGCCAACUACGUG